UGUAUAAUGGGUCAGCGACUUAUAUUCUGUAGCAAGGUUAACCGAAUAGGGGAGCCGAAGGGAAACCGAGUCUUAACUGGGCGUUAAGUUGCAGGGUAUAGACCCGAAACCCGGUGAUCUAGCCAUGGGCAGGUUGAAGGUUGGGUAACACUAACUGGAGGACCGAACCGACUAAUGUUGAAAAAUUAGCGGAUGACUUGUGGCUGGGGGUGAAAGGCCAAUCAAACCGGGAGAUAGCUGGUUCUCCCCGAAAGCUAUUUAGGUAGCGCCUCGUGAAUUCAUCUCCGGGGGUAGAGCACUGUUUCGGCAAGGGGGUCAUCCCGACUUACCAACCCGAUGCAAACUGCGAAUACCGGAGAAUGUUAUCACGGGAGACACACGGCGGGUGCUAACGUCCGUCGUGAAGAGGGAAACAACCCAGACCGCCAGCUAAGGUCCCAAAGUCAUGGUUAAGUGGGAAACGAUGUGGGAAGGCCCAGACAGCCAGGAUGUUGGCUUAGAAGCAGCCAUCAUUUAAAGAAAGCGUAAUAGCUCACUGGUCGAGUCGGCCUGCGCGGAAGAUGUAACGGGGCUAAACCAUGCACCGAAGCUGCGGCAGCGACACUAUGUGUUGUUGGGUAGGGGAGCGUUC
rnacentral:rRNA from 1 species